GUGGGUCUCUAAUCUAUACACAAAAGCAUUCAAGCAUUUCUCGAAACGCUUUGAUUGAAGAUAGUGUACUGGAUCAAUAAUUGACUGGUACUCAUGAGAACUGCUUGAGGCUAUCAACAAGAAGCAAAGGAGGCAUCUACUUUAACCUUUGAAAGGAAGAAAAAGUACUUCCAAAAUGCCAUUAAAAGGUACCAAACAAAGCUUGAAAUGGAAGCAUUCCUUCUCUUCACAGGUCACAAUUUCAAUGAGGUUUUGAGUGUUUUUUUAAUUAUUAUAUUUAUAUUUUUCUGACCUGAGUCUAACUCAUCAGGAAUUGCAAUCUGGGUAAUGAUGACUUUUCCCCUGUUUAUGACUUACAUUAGAACUGAUCUGUAGUUCUCCAUACACUACUUAAUUCUGUAAUAUUUUCCUACAAUUGCAAUGGUCAAUGAAGUGUGUAUAUUGAUCAAGUUGUAAGAUAACAUGACAACUUGUAUCUAUUUCUUUUGUUUGGUAUCUAGUUGAUGCUGUUUGUAA